rnacentral:lncRNA from 1 species
AGUAACCUCAGCAGUUUCCUCGGCUGCUGAGAACGUUAUUUUCGCCUUUUGGUUUCACCAUAACGAAGGGUGCUGGAGAACGUGGCAUGGACCACAGCUGACAUUUUCCAUGGAAACCAGGACCAGAGGCAGUGUGCUCGGGGCCCGGUUGGGGUGACACCAGGUAGCAGGAAAUUCGGGGGACAAAGGCUGCGAGUGAGAGCCUCAUCGGUCCUGCACCCAGGAGGAGCCAGGGGAGCCUGCCCUGUCCCACAGAGAGGAGACCGAGGCUCCCGGAGGAGGACAAGUGGCCGGGAAGAAAAUUGCUGGCCUUUUAUCUCCCAGUCCGGGGUGGUGUGUUUCCCCUCCCCACCUUGGAGGUUAUGUAAACGACGUGGGAUUCGAUUAUAAAUACUUCAAAAUAUUUGUGCCUGAAUAAAACCUCCCUCUUAAGCAGCCGUGCAGUGCUAACUGAAGGGGUCACACGAACGUCAUGCAGCUCGGUUCCCUGCUGGCUCAGGAAGGUCACAGUAACAAACACUUUGGUGGUGGACACGACCUGUCGUGACAUGAGAAUGCCAGUUCAAGGUGGUGUGGCUGAGCCUGUCAUUUUAUUUGGGAUGAUGACCAAGUUUGAAGGCCCCCAUUCAGCCCAGGUCAGCCCGAAUGAGGAGACCAGUGCCACUGACUGGUCCAUGAUGACAGUGGUUGGGAUGGUGGGGCAAAAGCACCCAAAUGACCAGUCACAGGGGCAGGGCCCGGGAGUCACACCUGUGCCCUGGCUAUGUCACCGUCCUCCUCUGUCACUGGGGACUCUUCACCACACUUGAGUCGGGUGAGCUGCCCCCUGUGAGGAACGUCCCAGGGUGCCAGGGUUGGGCCGGUGGGAGCUGCAGGCAGGUUUGCCCGGCUCACUGUGGGGGGGUGUCAGCACCUCUGGGUGCCCGUGCGUGCCGGCUGACAUGAUGGGGCAAAAACCUCACUCAGCCAAACCCAGAGGCACCUAAGUGUCCUCGAUGGAGAGGAGAGGCGAGAAGUCCUGUGACUGCUUUAAGAGAGGCUUAACACAUUCACACACAUUAACAAAGCCCAGGGUCUACCUCUAACGAGCUUAUUCUCACGGUACUAGGAUUGUAUGUUCACUCUGAUGCCGGGGUCAGCUUGACGGCAAAACGCAGGAUGCACAUCUCCUUUCCUGACUCCCGCCCCACCCAGGGACCCGUCCUUCAGGGCUCCCCUGUGGACCCGGCCUCCGGUGCAGCCUCUGGGUUUGGCCAUUAGCAAUUCUCACUAACCCUCCCCGGCACCACUGUGCCUCAUCUGGAGGGCAGCCCUCCCCCAGCCCUCAGGAUGGCAGGAACGUUCAGAUGCGGGCACGGGAGCAGAUGGGGCUGGGGCUGCUCACAGGAAGCUGCUGGUGUGCAGG